AGACUUGAGUGCAGAAGAGGACAGUGGAACUCCAUGUGUAGCGGUGAAAUGCGUAGAUAUAUGGAAGAACACCAGUGGCGAAGGCGGCUGUCUGGUCUGUAACUGACGCUGAGGCUCGAAAGCAUGGGUAGCGAACAGGAUUAGAUACCCUGGUAGUCCAUGCCGUAAACGAUGAUUACUAAGUGUUGGAGGGUUUCCGCCCUUCAGUGCUGCAGCUAACGCAUUAAGUAAUCCGCCUGGGGAGUACGACCGCAAGGUUGAAACUCAAAAGAAUUGACGGGGGCCCGCACAAGCGGUGGAGCAUGUGGUUUAAUUCGAAGCUACGCGAAGAACCUUACCAGGUCUUGACAUCUUCUGCCAACCUAAGAGAUUAGGCGUUCCCUUCGGGGACAGAAUGACAGGUGGUGCAUGGUUGUCGUCAGCUCGUGUCGUGAGAUGUUGGGUUAAGUCCCGCAACGAGCGCAACCCUUAUUACUAGUUGCCAGCAUUCAGUUGGGCACUCUAGUGAGACUGCCGGUGACAAACCGGAGGAAGGUGGGGACGACGACAAAUCAUCAUGCCCCUUAUGACCUGGGCUACACACGUGCUACAAUGGAUGGUACAACGAGUCGCGAAACCGCGAGGUUUAGCUAAUCUCUUAAAACCAUUCUCAGUUCGGACUGUAGGCUGCAACUCGCCUACACGAAGUCGGAAUCGCUAGUAAUCGCGGAUCAGCAUGCCGCGGUGAAUACGUUCCCGGGCCUUGUACACACCGCCCGUCA
rnacentral:rRNA from 1 species